AAAACUUUCAACAACGGAUCUCUUGGUUCUGGCAUCGAUGAAGAACGCAGCGAAAUGCGAUAAGUAAUGUGAAUUGCACAAUUCAGUGAAUCAUCGAAUCUUUGAACGCACAUUGCGCCCUCUGGUAUUCCGGGGGGCAUGCCUGUUCGAGCGUCAU
rnacentral:rRNA from 1 species